AUGUCCUAAAACGAAUGGAGUUUUGGCUUACAAAACAGACUUAAGAGCUGAAGAUGUUAACUUUGUAACAAGAUGACUUUAAAAAACAGAAACACAACGAACUUACAUAACUUUGUCUCAGGUAAAACUUGUAGCUAUAACUUUAGUAGAAGCUUAAAGUAACCCGAAUCUAUAGUUAGCAAUAUGCAGCCCAAAACUAUAGUACGUGUAGUUAAAGGGUAGCUGGGGGGGGGUCUAUUUCUCAGGGGUCACCGAGCGAUAUUUCGAUAGAAAGUUGCACAUUUUAACGUUUUCGUCAAGCUUAGUUUUUGGAUCUGCCUCGGCCAAAUAUGUUGGAGCAAACUAAUGGAAAAUACAAAGCCAUUCAGGAAAAAAGGCAGAAUUAAUAAUAUUAACGAUAUGGUUGUUUUGAGAUAUGGGAUAAAAGACUUGAGAUACGAGGCCUGUGUGGACGUUGGCAAUAAUAUCUUGAUUGUUUCAUGUUAAUAACAGAAAACAAAGCCAGAAAGAGCGUUCUCAAACAAAUGUUGUUCAAGAUAGAUCGAUAAAAACGGGCAAGGUUGCACUUGUUCAACCAAAGGUCAUGAGAAGAAAUUUUAAUGAAAAGCGUCUCUCAGGAGGAUGAAAAGAUCUUUCAUUAUAUUCAAGUAUCGUGUUAACAAUUUGAAGGCUCGUUUUCUUAAAUUAGUUGGUAGAUCUGUUCAUUUUUGAUGGCAUAUUGUCAAUCAGCUGUAAUUCUACAACGGGGAUUCGUGCGCAGGUUUCUCUAACAAUGAUCAAUUAAUCAAGAAUACAGCCUAAGCUCGUUAAACAAAGAUACCCCAACAAAGGUUUAUAAAUCGGCUACCAUCAAAAAUGGGAAAAAGGCUUAAACAAAAUUCGGCUAGGAACAGCUUCGCCACUACGGAAAUUUUGCACUCAAUAUGACAAGCAAAGGUGCUUCCCGUUUCCACCUUAUACGAAGAAUGCAAUUUAAUAUGCGGUUGAUUUUCCAGCAUGAGACACUCAAGCUUGUUAGAUGAUUUCAUAAAAUCAACCACUAAAAUUAGGGUCACAGAGUACAGUUGCUAAAUGCGUCAAUAAUUCUAUUAAUUCGCAAGCAAGUUGUUGCAGGUAAACAACCAAACUAUCAGUCAAAGCCGUAUCACGAAAACCGCCAUUUCCUUUUACCCGAGGGAGGAACCUUUUAAAAACGAGGGAUCACCCUCGCUGUAUGUAACCAGUGAAAAAUCUACAAAUGCCUCACGAAACAACUGUGGUAUACGAUUCAGCCAAAGUGUUUGAUGUGGCAGAAAAUUUUUUUUUUAGAAAUCAACGCAAACGAGAGAGAUAAACUGGACGCAAAGUUUGGUUUUCUUCCUCUUUUAACUCUAGCCUGGGAUUUCAGUUUUCCCGAAUCAUUGGAUAUUCUUCCAUUGAAGGACUAAGAAGAGAUGUAGCAAUUUACUAGCACAACCACAUUGAUAAGCAAAAACAUUCAGUGACAGCACAAGAGAGAUUUACAUUUUCCCCGCUUACGAGAAUCAACGCAGUUUUAAAAUGCCUUUAGAAGUGUGAUGGCUCUUACAACAAAGAAGCGAUCGGACGUCGGCUGUACCAAUUCGGCAAAUUAGAACUGUUUUUUCUUAGCAAAACUUCCUGCUUAAAAAAUUAGUUCGCAAAACAGAUUUGUUCUCUUUUACCAGCUAUGGAAUGGUGAAGAACAAGAUUCUUUCGCUAUCUUGUAUGUUAAUCUUUUUCUGACGUAACAUGUCUUUGAAUCAAGACCAGCAAUGCCAAAUCAACGCCGGUUGAUCAUAAUCCGAAACCUAGAUUUGGACCAAAAAUUUCAUUACUUUUCAUUAAGCCAAAAAUAACAUCCUAAAUCCUGGAUUUCCUAAUCAGUAGGUUAACGGGUGGAUUGAAGCGAGAUCAAGUGUUUGAUGAAACGGGCUGUCUACCAAUAAUUAUGCCUAAUUUUCAACUUUUGGUACAUUUCUGCUCUAGGUAGCAAAAGAUUCAUAUAACUAAAACAAUAACAAUGUUCAGCUAAAGCGGCAGAGUGUGUUUUUUACUUGAAUUGAGGACAGAGAAAACUGCAAAACCUGCUGUUUUAAUUUAGUCAUAGCAUUUUGGAACAGUGAGAAGACUGCCUUUUUAUUAUGGUGACUCUUGAAGUAUGUUUCUGUCUUUUGGAACAACGGCCAAUAAACAAGACCCGAAACAGUUUAUGUUACGAGAAAUUCCAGUUUCAGCAUAUCUCACUUAAUUACAGAACAAUCAAACAUGUCUUCAAACAACCUAUCCCCAUUGAAACUUGUUAGAUAGUGAUUCAGACUAAAACAUAAUCUAGCCGUGGACAAAGUAUGGCGGCAGCUAAUCAAGAAAAGUAAAUGUUUCCAUUGGUAGGAUAUUUGUAGUUGAAACAGGUGUCACCUAAAUUAAUCGGCUGUACAAACUGUUCCACGUCGAACUGCCUUUGCGAGACGAAAAGGGAUUACAAAAGCAAACACAUCCACCGAAGGGUAAAAUUGCUAGAGUUUAGCCUGACUUUUAUUAAUCUUGGUUCAGGAAAUGGGAUCCAACAUGUCGUAUUUCCAAGUAGACACGAGAUAUAAUAAUUUGGACAACAUUCGAAUAAAAAUUGCAUUGUGAUGUUUUGCAAAGACGGGAGAAAUGCGAUUAGGAGCUCGACCUCAAGCUUCCUUCGCGGGUAAAACAUCGGACAACUGACUUUACGCCCGAGUACAAUUUCCAUGUAAAGAUAAUCACAAUGUAAAUUUAAAUGAUAUCAUGGAAUCAAAUCAAUGCUCGUCAUUUCUUUUAAAUAAAAAGUGAUGGCGUUCAAAUAUCAAGGUCAUAAACGGAUGAGGACAAACUUCAAGAAGAUAAAAUCACGUUAUCCCUAUUUUUAACUUAUUUUACUUUCCAAGACCGCUCUCUUGCUCAAACAGCACAGUCCCUGUAGGACUUUGUGUUGACUAUUUUGCUAUAUUCCUUCAUUUAUAUUCCAAAAUGCUUUUAUAGUAAUUAGUAACUGGAAGUCUGUACGAUUUCAGUAAACUUAUAGAUCCGAUGACUGGAAUACGUUAAUCUUAAGAAGUUCUUUUUAAUAAAAACAUAAUCCACUGGUUGUUAUUUUAUUUGUUAAGUAACUGUUGAGAGAGUGAUCAGCCUUAAGUUGAUCGUCUUUUCUUUAAAACCACAAAUUCCUGGAAUGUGGAAAUUAAUUAUUAUAAAGCGAUUUUCUUGUAAAAAUCUCUCUUUAUCCGCCUCAACGCCUGUGGAACGAUCAAGAUGGGGGUCCAUCUAUUUUCUGUCUAUUGCAAGGUUAAGUCAAAAGAUGUGCAUAAGCUCAAUUAAGCCAUCGUAAUUAUCAAACCCUUCAGUCUGAGCUGUUUAAUAACCUUUAUAACUGAAUUUAUGAAAACAAUCGAUGGUUUACAAUCUUUUUUUUUACUUAUUCCUUCAAACAUUUUUAUAGUAAACUUAGUUCUCACUUCGAAGUUUAUCCUUGCUCCGCGAUCAACAAUUAUCAAUACAAACAUGCAAUCCUUUUUAGAAAAAAGGCUUAUAGCGAAACCUGCACAAUAACCACAUUUUAACAUGAAAUGUGAAAUAAAAAAAAGAACUGAGCAAAAAGGGGUAGAAUGAUGCGUAGAAGAUAAAAGAAGCAGGCUAAACGACGUAGAAAACUUUAUCUUUCACUUCUUUUAAUUAUCCUCCAUUUGUUUAGGAAUAGAACUUCGACUCUCCAAGCCACGACUAAUUUCAUGUCCUUCUUAUAAAACUUCAGUUGCAAGCGAAUCGACAGAACAAUUAAAACUAACGUCUAUUAAAAUGGAGAAAUCCCAUUGAAAGCAAAUACUAUGUUUGCAUCAAAGGUAGGACAUAAACAGAUACUGUACAUGUGUAUAACUUAACGAUAGGCCACACGUGUUGUUUAUGGUGCUGGUGUACAGAUGUCUCUUAGUUCUUUGCGGAGUAGUCAAACCACUUGAUGAGAAAAGCGAAAUAAAGAUCACACGUUAUUGUAGCUGGCUCUUUGGAGUAGUGUUUCGCGGUUAACUGUGCUGAAAAGCAACGCGCGAGUCCGAAGCUAACAUCUGUGUAAGAGAUGAUCUUCAUGACAAUUAAGACUUAAAUGGGAUGUAGGUCUUAUCUACAUCUAGGCAAAACCAUGUUUGAGAGGGGGGUUACCGUACUCAAAAAGUUAUGACCCCUCUAGGCAACUCAAAAUCAAGAAUUGUCAUUUUUCCAUGGGGUCCUUGAAGUGAGUCGAAAUUUAAUGACCGCCACACAGGCAAAAUAAAGGGAAAAUAACGCAAUUGCUCCGUUGCGGCAAUCUGCAAAGUCGGACACCACUAACGUGCUGGGGCAUUAGACCAAAAACAGAACCAAAGGGGAUAAAGUUUGGCUUAACGGGAACCAAGGACCGGCAAGGUUAUGUGAGAUUUGAAAACCCCUGUAUUAUAUAUCAGCGACGAAAUGUAUGGCGGAUAGUGACUUUUAUUACAGAAUAACGAACUUAGACGUUGUAUGGAACAUAUGCAAAAAAUGUUUUGGUAAGUAUAACAUCGUUGAAAGACAGAAAAGCCUGUAUUAGCAAGACACGACGAUCUUUUCUGCAAUCAAGCCUAAUCUUAUGAUUCAUGGGGACAUCUACAUGACAGAAAAUUCUUCCCAAAAUAAAUACAUAAUGUCUGACCGCGUUGCAUUGAGAAAUGGUUUUAGAGUUGCGCUAAACUAAACGCUGCGUUCACGAGAAACCACAUACAAUCACGACAGGACGCAAACCUGGAAGCGAUCUAUGAUGUCUCAACGAAAGUAGCUGUACCGUAAUCAACACAGAGUAUUCACAAUUUCAUUUUCAUUUACUUUAUGUAAGACAGCCAGAUUAUUGAACUGAGGGAUUUUGGCAGAAGAGACAGACCCAAAAGAAAGGAAAUGCUACUCAUAAACUAGUAGCUCUGAACGAAGAUCACCUAUCACCUAGGUCCAAACCAUUCAAAACUAAAUAUAUGCUCAAUAAAAAGCACUCCCAUAUAUACAUGUAUCGAGGCGGCAAAGCAAGAAAGAUCAACUUCUUAUGUAGGUUUGUGUUUCAAACAUGUUGAAUGCAGUACAAGACUUAACACACCUAAGCGACGUUAAAUAUGUUGGUUCAAGUUUCUCCUAUUUGUAUAUAUAUUCAAACCAAAGAACAAUAACAAAACAUCAGCCAUGUUGAUAGCAAGGGCGGGAUGAAAAAGUGGGACAAAAUCUCUCAUGAAAGACACGAAAGCUUUUCUUUUGAAAUACAUGGGAAAUUCUGUGCGAUUUUGAUAACCUUAAGAGAUCUUUUUAAAUCAUAAACGAAAAAUGAGGAAAAUAUCGAAUAUUUAAGAAAUGAUUGAUACAAAAGUUCGCAGAAUAGGCUAGUUAAAAAAAGAGACACAAAAAUCGACGUACUUGCACUGGUGUUGGUAGCUGUUCUUCAUCCGCUGAAACUUGUCCAAGAGGAAGGCCAAAAAAGCUGGAAGAAGAAUCAUAAAUCUUACGAUCUGAUGUCCCGUAACUUAUACUUUUCAGCAUGAACUUCCACAUUGCACGGGACGAUGUGGAUUCAGAAUUAUUCUUUAGCGCCGAUUUAUCGCUUUUCUUGCUCACAACCCUCAUAUCUCAUGCAGCAUGUUACGAAUGUUGACAACAGGAUGAGCAGUUACUUCAUACAGUCGCCAGCAUACAUAAACAUCGACCGGUACCAUCUACUUAGUAACGGUAUUCUGAUCGUAGGUCACCCUGGUGAGCAGAUUUUCUAAAGUCACGUAACAAACACGACAGUCCCUCAACCGUGCUCUCUCAAACAAUUAAUCUUGUUUCAAUGAAACCGCAAGGACAUGUCUUUUGUGCUUGUCCUUACUCAGCCAAGAAUGAAUCACUUCUGCCGCGCGGCUCUAACUGUGGUCAAUAAUAUACUCCUUGUUACAUUUAUGUCAAUGAUUGAAAAGGAGGCAGAGAGCCGACUGCUGUCUCAAUAUUUCCAGAUUUUUGCACCUUCUUAAAAACCAGCCAGAACGUCAGGAGAUUUAAAGGCAAAAGCUGAAGGAAACAGGCGGGUUGAUUGAUAGGCUCCAAGUUUGGAAAUGAACGCAUAAGGAAUAAGACUAAACACCGCGGGAUUAUUGCAUUUAAAGGUGAAUAAUGAUGUCUUCCGUGGAAUGAAAAAUCUAGCGGAUGAUUGGCUCGGAUUUUUUGUUUAUCUUCACAUCAUUAUAACCAGUAGCUAAUGAUGAUAGAUGAUUAACGAUUAUUGAUUAACGAUUAUUGAUUAAUGAUUAACGAUAGAUGUUAAUGAUGAAAGUUGAUGAUGAUGAUGAUGACGGUAGAACUGGGAAAGCGAGAAAUCGGUAAGGCAUACAGUUAAAGGGGGGGGGGGCAUAGGGGUGACGGGGUGAGGAGAAGACGAUAAAGCAGAGAAAUUGAGAAUGAAAAAGAAAUACUAUACGAGGUAGUUCAAGCAUUUUUGUCGGCCUGUGUGAUAUCCAUCAAUUUAUGAUCUAACAAACCACUAUGUGGAAUAAAGUUCCACCGUCUUAAAUUCCAUCAAUUCGCAUUUGGAAUGCAGAAUGCGGUGGCUGCAGAUAAGUCAUGCGGUUUAGCAAGAUUCUGCAAAAAGAGGCAAGCAGAGAAUAUUAAGUUGACUAAUCCAAAACACAUCUUUCGCAUAAGCAAUGGGAUCAUCGAAGCUUUCCAGGGAUACUGCUUGGUUUUCCAACGGAUUUAAAAGACAAAUGAAAAAGGAUAGGAGAUUUUUGCACUUCAAGGACGAAAGCUUUGACUUCAAAACUGAAAGGAAACUCGACAUUCCUAUUUCCUGGUCUUCGGAGUUCUAAAAAUUCUGUCAAAAAACAGACUCCUGAAAGAUUCCGAAAAGAUCAUCAUCGGAAAGCGGGGAGAGCCAUAAGAUUUUUUCUGAUCUAAAAUUGUUACAAAAGAAAAAUGUAUACUUAAUCUGUCAAUAGAGACUAUAAUUUUUAAUAGCUUCCUUGUUGUAGAGAAACAAGAAUAUCGAGAAAAAAGCAUAGGACAGAAAACUCUCAUUGAUUCUAAAAUUUAACCACAGAAUAUCUGUAGUUGCCAUCAUGCUGUGGGCCCGUGCAGGGGUGCCGUCCUAAAAGGCAGGGAGGCACUGAGCUGCAAGCAGCUUCUAGAAGCCAUAGUAACACCCUUUAUACAUGUGCUUAAGUUUCUCUGUUAUGAGUUCGCACAGCUAAGAUAAUGAGAGGCCGUCGCGCAUGUUCUACCCAAUGAUUCACCUAAUUGCAGCUGAUAAUGUAGCUCAUUAGAUUACAGGUGUAUUAAGUAAAGUCUACGAUUUUUGGGAAAGGAAUAUAGGGAUUUCCUUUUGUGAGAUAAAGUAGAUUCUCAUGUAUCGUGUUUAAUAGUUUGCAAAUCACCUCAGCAUUGAACACUAAGCCCUGUCUACAGAGAGCAAAACCAGCAGAAAACUGUGAAAAUUUUCUUAUAAACAUUGUAAGCCUCGUUUAGAGCCAGCUUCCUCAUUGACUGCAACUCAAGCAAAAGAUGUACAAUUAGGAGAAACCAGCGGGCAUAGAAUGCGUUCGUCUUGUGUGAUGAUGCUAUUCUCAUUCUUUUAACCAACCGUCAGUUUAUGAUUUUUAAGGUACAGAGGAGUACAGACAAAACACUGCUAAAAACGUCACCAAAAAAACUGAGCCCUUGUUCAAUUCUUCGCGCGUAUCGCUUUGGUUGCUUAAAGGUGAACUGACACGCAAAACUAUUUUUUGAUAUAAUGUAGAAAACGAUGCAUGGAAUCUUAAUUUCAAAUUUUCGGUUAAUUAUAAUUGUCCGUUUUGACGCAAUUCCGCUCUAAAUGUCAUGAAAUUAUCGUCGAGUGUUCGACCAUUGUCGGCAUUUCAUGUGACCCAGUACGUGUGACGUCACAAACACCAUGUUUUUAUUCCUUCAAUGGAAAUCACACACGACUGGACAGUUCAGUUCAUCUUGUUCAGUUACUAUUCGAUGAGAUCUACGUAGCCUUUGAUCCAAGAUACAUGAAAAUUCGAGGCUGAUUGGCUGAUUGAAUAUACGAUGGAUAUGUGUUGGCUGGUACUAUGUUAUGUUAGGAGGGAAUUUAAGUUUGGAAGGAAUAGGCACUUUUAGCUGCUCGAAGAAAUUCUCAAUUCUGAAGUCAAUCAUGCGGACGAAUGUUGUCGAAAUGGAGCCAAAAUCUACACAAUCAAUGUAUCGAUGCUCUUCCGCAAAGUCAUGAAAGUACGGCCUUCCAGACUGUCAUGUUGCUCAAGUGAUGUGAACAUGGUGUUUGUGACGUCACGAUUAUGCGGAAGGCUCGGGUGAACUCGUCCGUGCUCGGAAAAUGUUCGGUGGCUAACUUUGACGCUCAAUAACUCGAAAACUGUGUUAAAUAUUAAAAAAAUAAUAAUGUAUCGGAUAUUUAUGCUCGAUAUGCUUUCAUUUGAGCUCAAGUUAAUUUUGCGUGUCAGUUCACCUUUAAGUAGUGCUGGAUCUGUCAUAACGUAGGAACUUUCGAGAAAGAACAAGUACUGCAACAAGGAAAAAGCGCGUGAAAGAAGGAAACAUAACCAGCAUUCAUAAAAAAGUGAUUACUGUCGGAGAUCUGAAAUAAAUUUCAAGCGACUCUGAUAGAAGUUAGAACGAUUCUGAAAGAAGUUGCUGCCGCUAAUUCCUGGAGCAGACACAAAGAAUCCCUUUCAUAAUUGUUUGAAUGCGUUUAGCAUUGGACUGAUGAUUCUACCACGAGUGCAGAUGAGCUGAAGAGACAGCUUUUGGACCUCAAAUUAUGACCAAACGAUGACUUAUUUCAACUAUAUAUCUAUUUGUGACUACGUGAAGUACCGUUACAAGGCGCUCAUUUUGUUAAAUCUCAUAUUGUAGACAGAUUCAAGAAUGCCACUGACAGUUUUCAUUAAGAGGAAAGUCAAGGACGACGAUAUUUUGCCUUUCAAAAAAGAAAUGCAGUGAAUGCAUGAAUAAUAAUAUUUUUUAGCCAUACGAUAGGAUAUAAAACAAUACAGAUGCAAUAACAUUUAUUGCAACGGCCAGGUUUAGGUCUUGUUAACAUAUAAACAUCUUAUUCUGCAUAAUAUAAUCAAAUGGUAUCUAGGCAUCGAAGCAACGGAAACAGCCUUACUAAAAACAGGGAGUGUGCAGCGAUUGUUAGUAGUAACGUUAUGCACGUGUCCAAGGGGGAAAAACUGCAAUUGACCUUUUGGUCAUUAAUUGAGUACCAACGCAACGCCGCAACGACAGGUUAUAGAGCACAAGUGUUUCAGUCAUCACCAUCAUAGUCCGGCAAUCAUCUACUGCUACCCAAAUGUUGUCAACGGGUAAAGUUAGGAUUAGCUGCUUUAAAAGAAGCAUUCAUAAAGAAGGUGUAACCAGUUGACUAACAAACCAAAGACCCAGGAGGCUUUGAAGAGAAUAGUAAGAAAAGGGGGUAUUGAGUACGGAAAAGAGGCGGCUGCCAAUAUUCUAAUUGUAGGCGACUCCACUGGGAUGAGAUUAUCGUUCUGGUCCUUUGACAGUCUACCGAUUUGAUCAUCAUAGGCUUUGGUUUUGAAAUUAGCUCAUUGGAUUUGCCCUUACAACAAGACAGUAAUAACAAUGUGAAGAAGCAAUUACAAAUUAGACAAGUGGCCGCAGUGACGCGAACGAUUUUCAAGCUGCAUGUACCUUGAAACAGAGAAUGCGAGGAUUACGUUCAGAGAGGGUCUCAAAAGGGGGCUCUCCCUGACUGCUUUAAACAGAAGUUUAUGGGGAGUUAGGGAGAGCGCUACUGAAGUUGCAAGGAGAGGCGUAAGAGUAGCGGUCAGCUGUUGCAUCACAACAAAGGCACGUACAUAAAAUAUCAUUAGCCUAUGAAAAAAUGUUUGUAAAAGAGUUAUGGUAGAUCUGCGUAAACCGAUUAAAGAGUUUUAGUUUUUCAACAUGCAACCACAAAUCCUCAAUUUCCCUCUGGCGAGCAAACAUCAAAAGUUCCGACUCUUUUCUAAGAUUUGUAUCUCUUUAACUUUCAAGAUUUCUAUCUUUUUAAGAUUCGUAGGAUACCAUGAGCGAAUCAUUUCCAUGAAUCGGUGCUAUCCGCCUUUCCGCCCUGUUUAAUUUCGCAACAAUUGCAUAAGUUGCAAAAUUACAGAACGCAUACGGAAGCCUAAUGGAAUCUGUGCUAUAUCACACUGAUCUACUCAUAUUCAGAAGUUGUAGCUUGCAACAGAAUUACCAUGCAGGUUUGCCGAUUUAGAUGCCAACAAGAAACAGCACCCAAAGUAGCGACAAAGAAAAGAAAACAUACUAACAAACGUUGAAAAAGUGCCACUCAUAGUUGAAAUGACCUGCUAAAAUACUAUUCCAGUCCACACCCAUCAGCUGUAUCUUGCCAUACCAACAUCCAUCGUUAACAAAACUUUACCAGUUUAUUAUCAGCAUAUUAGCAGUUGACGAAAUGAUAACAUGACCCUACAUUUGUACCUGGUACAUAAUGUUUACUUUCAACAAUACCAUGCAAGCGUUUUUUUUGUCAUUGAAAAACCACUGGAAUGGCGUUCACGUGUUUACAGCUUUUACCAUAAGCACGUCUGAAAAAGGCUUUAAUGAAUUUAGUGACUGCAAAAAGUUCAGAGCAAUCAAUGUAUUUGUCUAACAAAUAGAGAAUCCUCAUAUUUUACUUCAAGACUGACAUGAUAAACUAAGGGCAUCUCGAAUAAUUUCCCAGACAUUAAGUUAAAUUGUAUGUGAUUAGUGAUUGCGCGCUGUGAGUAGCAAUGAUUACUGUUUGUGAUGCGAUGAUGUAGAAUGCUGGCUAUCUAAGCUAGAGAGAAACAUCACUAGUGAUUAACAAUGAUUGUUGGUUGAACUUGAUGGGAGACAAGGAAAGUAAACAGGAAAAGAUAAAAACGAAUUAAGAUGGAGCAAUCGUGAAAAUUUGGUUUAUCAAUCCAAAAAAAAUUUUAAGAGAAGAAUACUUUAGAAAGAGAACUGUAAGUUAGAAGAUGCAAUAACAAACAAAGAUGAAAUGUUUUAUCUGGGUCACCAAAUGGUGAAUUCCGUCAAAGAUUUAGUAGAAAAUCUGUCAAGCGAAGAUGCUUGCGUGACAUGAGGCACAGUAAUAACACAAAAUCUGGAACUGACUUACAGGAUAAACUAUCUGAGGGUAGCAUAAUCCAUGUUUGAACUGUGCUUAUUUGAUUAAGAUUCUUUGUAACAAUGACCAGUUAUUUCUUUCUGGUAUUCAUUUGGUCACGGAUUGACAAGCCUGGGAGCAACUUUUCGCGUGACACGUUUAAAGAAACAGCUCUUAUGACACGAAACUCUACAAUAAUGCUGAGAAUUCGCAUGCUGCAUUCCUUCAGACAGAACAACACUUCAUCGUAAGCUGGAAAUUGGUAACGCAACGAUCUAGUUACUAAUUCAAAGUAUCUGAAAGGGUUUUUUAAAAAAAAUUAUACAGGAGAGUAACCAUCUUGAAAAAACAGCUUCAACGGGGGCCUAAGGCAUCAUUUAGCACAGGCUGACUCGACAAUGGCACGUUUGCAGUGACCUAGAUUGUCGAGAUCUAGUUGCAUGACAGUUUAAUAUGGCCUUGACUAAUGUAAGGCAAUAUCUGACAUCUUAGUUUGACAAAAGUCCGUUAUGGGAUUGCUUGACAUUUCAAAUACAUUAACAAUGUAUUUCAAUCAAGGUCUCCACUUCAAAUGAGGUGAGGAAAGCGCGUCAAGAGACUGGAUGAAAAGAAAUAUUCUCCUUUGAUUCAUAUAAGAAUUCCUGACUCAUAUAAGGCAUAUUAUGAAUUCGAAACGCUCUUGGUAAUAUUUCUGAUUCCCCGCAAAUUAAGUUAGGAAGUACAAAGCACGCAAGCGUCAACUUGGGGUAUUGAAGGACAAAAUAACCGCAAAGAUCCAAAAACUCGAUUAAAUGUUAUAACGAAGUGACAAGUCUUGACCCAUGUAAGUAAUGAAUUUUAAUGCAUGCUGACAUUUACGUUUGGCACUGAAAUACACUAUGAACGGCAUUUCCUGCACGAAUUCAUAUAAAGAGCAGCCUUUGAAAGACUGGGGAGCAUGACAAUGCAAAUAAGGAAAAAAGAGAAAGCUGUAAACAUUCAUGAAAUAGUUUCUUUACGGAAAAUGAAGCGAAGGCUAUUAUGUGUCAUGGUUUAGAGGAAGAUAAACAAGCUGAGAGGACCAUAAAAAGGGCUUCUGUCAAAUGAGAAAUUCCCUUUUAUGGCAGUAAAAAUUGAUUUCAAUCAUCAUUCUCUCAUGUCCAACAAGGAGGGGUGUUUUGUGACCCACCUAUUACCGAUGUAUAGAGACGAUAUCCUUCCUGUAAAGUUAACACCUUCUCUUCAAGAAAAGAUGACAGUGUGCACGUUCUCUUAAACAGUAAAAGACAGUUGGCUCACAGAAGUGAGCUUGUUCGUCUCCCCAAUCAUAGUAUUAAUAUAGAAAAAAAUGUGAGCAAGUGGCGUUUAGAAUGAGCCAUGUGGUCCCCAAUACUAAUUACCCCACUCGCUCUACAUCCACAUCUAGAGGUAGUUGCUGUCAGUAAGUUCAAAACGAAAGAAUUCAACCGAGCAAUAACUUAAUGUGAAAGAAAGAAAUGAUGCAGAGGUUCUCAAGCAUUUCACUAUGAACCGAGCUUGAGGUUACGUUAAGGCAAAGAGAACAUGUGAGGUGAUGAAACAUGAUUUGAAGGUGUCGCUUGUGGAUUUUUGUGGUGAUGGGGUAUCAACAUUCUAUCAGCCAGUAAAUAUGUAAUAAGAAGCAUGUUCUAAAUUAUGGCUUUAGAUAUAACAGGUGAUUCGCAAACGACAAAAUUCAUUCAUUAUGGUUUUCUGGUUUUGUCGAAAAACAAAUGAUGGAAACUCACCUUCCUUGUUGAGAACGUUCUUCGAUUGAGUUCUGCUUCUGGGGUUUCUUGUGUAGUGCCCAGUUUAUGAUAGGAGAUUUCAUGGGGCUUUUCCAUCUUUUUUGGCUAUUAGGCGAAUCUGUGACAAAAAAUGAGCAUAAGUCAGAGACGAUAUAACUAGUUAAUGGUGUUGCCUGUAGAUUGUAAUAGGGGGAGGAAAUUUCAUCAAAUAUGAAGCAGCAAGAGUAAUUGAUUAAUACAAAGAAAUUCUAGGACAUGAAAUUCGUAUACGUUGGCUUUGGUCAGAAUUUCGUAUAAAUAUUAAUUGAAUACAAUGGCUACUUAGCAAUUAUAUGGUUCAGAACUUAAAUUUCUUCAGUUUAUCAUGGUGCUAUAAGAUGUUAAGUAACAGAUGCGUUGGUAUAGAAUAUUGGAUUUUUCAGGGCUUCUUUUCAAGUACUCGAGGUUCACUUCACGGAUUUCAAACCAUGUACGACAUGAGUUAUAAGUAUCCUUCAGCGCUGUUUGUAUGUUUGUAAAUGUUUAAAUUAAUACUGUAUAAAGACCUGAUUGUCAGAUGGAUUGAUUUACGGAUAAAUUGUCUCUUAUUGUUUCGGAUAAGAGCGAUUCAUGCUCACUAUGUUAUUCAUCGGUGUUUCUCUACAGUGUCUAUUCGCGGUGGCGCGGAUCUGCCUCGUGUUACCACAGCUUUUAAUUUCUUGAAAAUCACACAAAAAUUAGUUUACAAUAUUAUGUAUAUUUUCAUUCAGGCCCAAACCAUAUCCUUUAUUCUACGCAACAACUGAAAUAAAACUAAAAGAAAGAGCUGUUACUGUUAAUUCCAAGGCUGACCAAACUUUGGACAGAAAGACCGGUCCUUUUAUAAUUGCGUUAAUACGGAAAUCCAUUCAUUUCUUCGAUCUUAUUACACAAGCAAUGAAAAUCGUGGUAAAUAAGGUUAUGAUCAAUCAAAAGAUGGUACAAGAUUUAUCCUUGAUCAAAGCGUUUUUUAAAGAAAAGAAAAACAUACGUAAACGGCUUAAUGAACGAGCCCUGACAAGUUUUACUCUCGAGCUAAAGUAAGGACCCUAUGUAAGUACAACUUGCUAUGAGGGCACCCUAUCUUUGCAAGUAUAAUUUGAAAUUUCCGUUCUUACAAGCCCUUCACUUUGACACAAAAAACACAAAUUGGCCAAAUUAAAAAAUCCAUAAAAAUGCAGCUACACCGUCCAACCGUCAAAAGAGUGGGCAAAUGGCUGGUCACCGUUCUUUGGAAGGGAUGCUUCCCAUAUUUCGCUUCUUGCAAGCAUAUUAUGAGCUGAUACUGCCUGCGACUCAGCAGUCGCAUUGUUCUUAAAAUACUCAAAGCGAUAACGAUCAAAACAAGAUACAAAAACAAUGAAACAACAAUGAAACAAAGGCAAAGUCGCUCUAGGCAGGAAUCAUGGUGCAUCUGAUAUGUAUUCAAAGUUAAAAAAGAAACUCUUCGCUUUAGUUACUGGCGCUGAUAGAAGUAAACCUCCACGUGGCUUCAAAAUUGCAAAAAACAACAAAAGAUGAAGAGGGAGUGAAAAUGAAGCAACGGGGCAGCGUUUUCGGUUUAGUGUUGGAAAAAUGUUGAAAAAUUUAAAUAUAUUUAUCUAACGCCAAGGUCACGAAACAAAAUAAUUCUGUAUACCCAAAAAUCACCCGAUAGUCUAUAGGGUAUUCGUGUAUUAAUCGUUAACUGUAGGUUAGGCCUAUCGUGAUGGUACCUUGAGUAGAAAAUGAAAAAUGAGGGCUGAAUGGCAAAUGAACUUACCCUCACUGAAAUAGAAAUCUUUGUGCACAUAGCCGCUCAGGGCAGUAUCGCUGAUAGAUAGAGGUAGACACGACAGGCUUGAAAACGAUGAUUUCCUCGCCCUGCGCGACAUUUCCUUUGUACUAAAUAGCCUUCGUUUUCAAUUUGGAUAUAUACUGCGGUUGGUACACUUUGCUUGCAAAAGAAGUCCAAAUGCAUGCGAGCUGAGGCAACACCAAAGCUGAUGCAUCAAUAUCAACAAUCCAUUGUUAAAUACCAUAUGAAUUUAUAACUUCACGAUGCAUUCUAACAAACAAUUAUCGAUUAUGAAAACGUGGGAGCAUCUUUUAACACGAAAAACUCGAAUCGCGAUGGCAAAGUUAAAUCCGCACACAACCGUUUGAGGAUUACGAAGGUGCGUCUUGCGACCGAUUAACCUUUCAGAUUUUCAUGAUGUAUGUUUUCCCAGAUGCUGUUUCGAAUUGGCAGCCAAUCUCUAGCAAACCACAAACUAAAUGGUUAAAAUGAAACGAAGAACUAUCCAGAAGAGACAACCAAGAACAAACGGACAGCAGUAAUCUGGGUUUCCCAUCAAGAAAGCCUCAAAUCGUAGAAAAACUUUCCAAGCCUCCUUGACAACCUGAAAUUCGUGGAACACUAGAAGACACCGUAAAGUUGACGCUCUGUACUUGAUAAGGUUUUGUGAUUGAACAAACAGAUACCUUCUGCUUUCCAUAGCAUAAUGAUAUCAGAAUGUGAAAGUUGAGGGACAAUUAACGGAACAAAGUGACGCAAAGUUAAGCUGAUAUCAGUGAUAGAUAGUGGUUCUGAUUGAUUCUCAAUCUUGAAAAACCUUACUAUGUCUGGUCUUUCUCAAUGUAACUCCGUGCGGACACAGUAAGAAGUGCCUUUCUGAAAACGGCCAACUGCAUUGGAAAAAUAAAACCAAGGAAAGUCAACAGACAGCUCUCAUAGCGAUCGUCUAUUGGGCUCUACGUUCUAAAUCGAGGGGCAAAUCACACCAUGGAAAUCUUCUACACCUUCGAUGGAAAUCCUAUUGUUUUUUUAAAACCUCUAGAAAGUCUCUAAUUUUGGUGGAAAUCUCGUACAGUAUUUGCAAAGGUGAAUUUUUCCUCGUUCCUAACACCAUAAAAUAGAGCAAAUAGGAAGAGUGUUCCGCAAAAUACAGGAGAACACCUUGAUGUGGUCCAUCAAAGAUCCCUUGGAGCGAAUAACUUGAUUCACACAGGCUAAAUUUCCCAAUCCAUAAUUACUCCGCCUUAAGUUCAAGAUUCUGCCCAUAGAUCGAACAUAGUAAACAGUAAUUAGGAUAGGCUUUGAUUCUAAAUCUUAAAUUGCCCCACCUUAAGUCUCUUUUCGGUGAUUAUAAUUUAUAUCAUUGAGAUAAUCAUUUCGCAAAUAAUUGUAAGGUUAAUUGUAAAGCGCAUUAGGAAUUGGAAAUAAGGAUUUAUCACCUUGGGUACAUCAGCCAGGGACUUACAACUAGCUUAUCGCCAAAGAGCCGCGACAAACAUGACGACAAGUGGCAAAAAGAGUAAAAAUCAAAAUAUGGUUUAGAGAUACAGUUAUACGCACAUUAUGUGCAAGUACAAAAACAUUCUUACAUUAGGCCAUUAUCCGAGAACUGAAAAUUGAAGUUCAAAACAAGCAAUGCAAUUCAGGAUGGCAAAGAACAGCGGAUAAAGAAAAGAAAGAAAUAGAUAAAAGAAAAAUCCGCAAGAAUUAAUGUUUGUGCUACAAGUAUGAUUAAUAGGAUUUAAAAACAAAUUCUUUACGCAUAAAUCAAACCAAAAGUAAAAAUUAAAUAUAAGCUAGAUUUGAGGAGUAAUAAAAAGAUAGUAAUAGAGAUCAAAGUUGUAGACGUUGAUUACAAAAAUCACAAUAUAAAUUAUAAAUUAUGAUGGUAGUAGUUAUCAAUUUGCACAACCAACCAGUAGUUGGCAUGAUGUCUCACAAGAUAUUAACCGUGGCCGUUUUCAAAGACAUUUUUUGACGUUUGGCUUUCCUUACUUGAUGUGGAUAUUUGACCUAAUUUGGACAUUCAUCAUGACCCAAUUUGGCUAUCGCUACUAAAACAACCGCGAAGAGAUUCAUUCUAGAUUCUUUAGAUAUCCAUUGAAUAUGGAAUCAAAGAGGCGAAAUGAAGCAAAACUGGUGGUUUUGAGAAUCGACAUGGCUGCUAAUGGUUGUCAGUGGUAGUCUACGCUAAAACUAGGCAGUCCCGCCAGCCUUUUAGGUUCCUUUAGUGUUAGUUGUUGAAGAAGAACAUGAUGGGUAAAUGAAAUAAUGGGGAGGAAGAGGAGGAGGAGGAGGAAAAAAUCAAAUAUGAAAAACGGUAUGCGAUUGGCAGGGGAAAUGAAAGUAAAGAAUGGUGCUUUCUAAAGUAAUGGUGCUGUAUCUUUUUAGAAAUCCUGAUGAAAAUCUAGAGUAUUUCAUCUAGUCUUCGUCAUAUGACUCAAGUUGAUACCCAUUUAUGUUCAGGGUUUCAAACCACGAGUGAGUAAAAUGAAGUGUAUUAUCGGACUUUGAUAUCUUGGUGAAUGGUUUCAUCCAAUUACUAUCACAAGAUUGCAAUUCAUGCCGAAUAGUGUCAGGGUCCCAAACCCAAAGUGUAUGAUAGGAAAAUGCAAGAGUCUAAAAAUCCAACCCGUUCUGCACUCUGUGCAAACAUGAUGGAUAUUAAGGGUGUGGUGUUCUCUGAAUGUUCAACAUAAUGGCCUCGCGAACGCUAACCAGGAUAACAAAGAACUUGCGAAUAGAAGUACGAAGAUACUGCUCAUGAUAAAAUAUUUCAGAAUGAUAUGACAUUAAGCCAAUGUGCGGAAAUUGUGGCAAUCAAGGUAUUGUAGUCUAUAGAAACGGCUUAUCUCAAAGCCAAUUAUAACGAUAAGGAGUCUGUGUGAUUUGCUACACCUCGAUAGCAGUGGACCAUCCACAAAAAUUUGUACAGUGUAUAGAGAGAGGAUAAUGGUUCAGCGAUUACACCAAGCAAAUGAACUUACGCAAUAAGGCCUAACUACAGUGCCUGAGAUUAAUGAGUUCUCCCCGCAACCUGAUCUGUUAGAUUUCUUUGGAAAGAGACCCAAAUGAAUUAAUAUGCUCACUUACAUCCUGCCUUUUGCUUCAAACGGGUCGGAGAACUAGCAAUGGUCACGACUGGUGAUUCUUUCUUUAAUAUGAUAUUUUUCUUUUCUUUACUUCACCAGAAAAAUACGACUUGCAACUUUACUUGAAUAGUUUGCAUCCAACUUAGAAAGCAAGGAACUUACGAAAUAGAUAUUUGUAUAAUUGUUUUGUCUUUAUGUGCAAAAACAUUUAACUUAUAACAUAAAAUGUUUGGAAGAUAGCUUGAGUUGUAAUAUGCACAUUCAAAGACCCAAUCUAUUUAUGCAUUCGCAAAUGAAUUAACUAACUUCCGAUUCGAGCAUUGCCUGCUAAAAGUAUGAGAAAAAUGUGCCAGAUAGAGUGGUAUAAGAACUACAGAAAAGAAAUUGGAAGGCAAUUUCUUCAACGCAAAAAUGCAGCUUACAAUCAAAACCAUAGAGCUUCAAAAUAUUCACUGUGAAGAUAAAAGGAAGGUCCAUAUUCCCCAAAUGAUCUGCAGUGUUUACGUAAGAGAGCAUUAAAAAAACAGUGCCUUUAAACAGUUGUAAUACCUUAUGAAUGAUAUUUGUAGAGGUCAUUAGAGAAUUUUUUUUUCAGCAGUAUGAUAAUCUACUUUAAGCAAUUCUAAUGAGGAGUCAUUUGCGAAAAGUAAGGGUUUAAGAACCGAUCCUUGCGGCACUUCUACGGAUUAGACAAGGGUCUUUUCAUCGAGGGACUAGAGCCAGUAUUCAUGAGAUCACAUGCUUGCAACGGUUGCCAGCAUUGUAAGCACUUCCUCGUUUUAAUUCAAUGCUAGGAUUGCUACGUCACUGUGGCCUUGUAGUAAAUUGAACAUAGUAGGAGUGAAGAAGAAUGGGGUCAGGAGACAAAAUGAUAAAUUGUUAAGUAUUGGGAAGGUAUAAGAGACUUGAAUCAGCCGCUCUAGUAAUAGUCAAAUAAACCGGAAUCUGAACGUAUGGUUUGCUCGUUAGGGAGUGGUAUAUGACGAAUCAAAGGAAGUUACACCUAAAAAGGCUAUUAUGUGGCAAGCGACCUUCGUCAUCAUUAGGCAUUGAUUAAACCGCCGUUGCGAAUAUUACGCACAAAAGGUCGAUGGCUUAUCAAAGAGUUCUACUCUUAAUAAUAUUUUGAAUAGCUAGGGAGUGAAAGCUACAUACAGUAAUUUUCAUCAUACCAAAACAAAAAAGGUUGAGCCAAAGUGCAUCUUUUACAAAUUAUAACGAAAGCACAAAGAAUAAGGCGUACAAAUUAUGCAUCUCCUUCAUUAAUGAGAGAGGCGACGAAAGGGAGCCAUUAAUAAUUGCAAAGAUCCUCGAGAACUGUUAUAACAGAGAAUUGACUGGGAAGUGACAGAUGCUUCGCUCCCCCAUUUCACCCCUCUCCCCUAAUACGAAUUUUGAUCCAAUUUUACUGUAUGGUGUAAGAUUUUAAAACAUGUUUACUGAUAUUCUCAAGCCGUGAACAGACGCGAGGAAUCCGAUGAUAGAUUAGGGUCCUUGAAGCAUCAAGAUGCCUGUACUUCGACUAUAGAGUUUGAUAGCAAUAAUUGGCACUGUAUAAUGCCUUGAGUAUGUUGAUUUGCGGAAAUACCUGAUGAUGCUUAGCCGCUCAGGAGUGCUUUUGCAAAUUCAGACCAUUAUACUAACAGCCCAAAGGCAGUGCUGCUAUACUGAUAAAAAUGGCAUUUUUAUCAAUUCACAACGACAGGAAAGUGAGAUUACUUAAUUUCUUAUCGGCUUGGGUGGCGACAAUGCGAAAGUUUUUCAAAUCUAGCUUAAAAAAGAAAUGUUAGAAUCAUUUAUGGCGCCUGAUGCCUUCAGAUGCUUAAUGAGAAUAAUGCAACGAAGAAUUUUUUUCAACCUUGUGAUCCCGUUCUUGAUUUCAUGGUAUGUUUUUGCGUGAGCGAAACAAGAUAUGUAUAGUAUACAUACAUACAAUGGUAUGUAUAGGCAACUACAAGCACUAUUAAACAUACUAUACUCGACUGUAAGCUAUCAUUUGAAAUGAAAAAUUAUUGGGACAUGAGGAACGAACCGUUUUCAUUAUAAAGUGCUUAUAAAAGUUUUGUCGACACCCAAAAAAUUUUCUGUAUUGCCGAAAGGGCGGAAACUGAGUGCUGUUCCUUAAUCUCGGAAAGGGGGUCUGAAUACAAAGUUACAUAUCGAAACUUAUUUAGGCAAUUAACACUAUAAACCCUUGUUUUAAUCCAUAUAAAACUGUUUCUUAAGUGUUUGAAAAUCAUUUUCAGCACAUUUACUCCAUCCACUGCACUCCUACAAAUUCAUGUCAAUGUUUUCGGAAAUCAAAUGUAGAAAAUAUCCAUUUUCAAAAAGUUUGUAGCUAUAUUGUAGCUAUUUGUAGCUAUAUUUCAAAAUAUGUAUUCAUGUUAAGCAAAGAAUUUUGAGUCGAAAGAAUUCCCAUUCUCGAACAUUUUUCUCCUGCUUUAAUUUUUAAUCGCAGAAUUACUUUCAUGUUGAAACAGUUCCUGAAGCUGCACAAAGAGAGCUUUCUCAGUUGUUAGUCUGGUGUGCUUAGCAUACCAUUUGUUGACUAAAAAUUGCCCAUGGCAACAGAUUAGGAUCAUCUUUGAUUACAGCCGUAUCAGCAGAUAAUCAAAUGUCACUGGAGUGACAUUUAUUUGUUUAUGACUUAUGGUUUGACAAUGCGGACGCCAUGCUGGGGUCACUAAGAUCAUGCAUUAUAGCCUUGUGUUUUAUAUUAAAUAAAACAGGUCACGUCAUCCCAGAAUGUGAACAUGUACCUAAAAAUUGCUUUUUUACAAGGUGUAAGCAAGUAUAUCAGGAUUCCAGGGACACGGAUAAACCACGGUACGAAUACCUUAUUAAAGCCCUGCUCAAAAGCUUCUUAAACCUUUCAAUGUUAUUGGAACAAGCUUGACCAUCUCUGGUUAUCGGAAGAGCUCGAUCAUCUUGGGUUAUUGUAGACCUCUCGCGUUCCAAACAAUUCGGGCUGUUUUGCGUUGUAGGUAUUUAGCCUCCUUUCCUUCUGGCAUACAAGUAUAAAACUAACGAAGACAAUUGUCUACUGUUCUGUAACAGAGAGCGUAUUGCCUUAUUGAAAAAGCUGUUGCUGUGAAAAACAGGAUGGUCUAAACAUCCACAUUGUAAAUGCCAUUGUCAUACAACUUACUAACAAAUUUAACCAUAAUGAUGAAAUCAAACUCACCAACAUCAAGGCGACCAGUCGAGUUCUUCUUUUUCUUCAAUAUAAACUCACACUUUGAUCUUGAAUGCACUUGUUCUGGAUCAAACUCAGUGCGUUCAGUGACAGGCGAAUCGACAUUGCAGCUCGCUUGUCGAAUGUGAUUCAUCUUUAUGCAGAAAGGUAUUUCAUGACCUGGAAAUUUGGAAAUAGCGAACUUAAUAAUAGAAAAUCUAAAUCAUAGCCACGGUUUAUAAAGAAGCAUAGUGAGAGCGAUGGAAACAGUCGGAGUUGAUAUGAGAAAUCUAUGUAGCGAAAUAAAUUGGUGGAUACAAGAAUUACAGGGUUAUACCUAGCUUAACUUGAAAUUUUUAGAAUUAUUAACAAAAUGACACACUUAGAGAAAAUCCUUGGGAAUGGAUUUAUUUAUUUUCAUUACUUCCACGUAUAGCGAACACUAGCAAACAUUAGUGAACACUAGCAAACACUGGUGAACCCUAGCAAACAAUCGAAGUUGACUGCGGAGUUACGUGACCGCAAAGGCAGAUGGGUAGUUAGUUACAAUGGCCGCUGAUCUAUUGAAUAUUAUGGGUGUAACAAAUUGCAAGGUUCGACUGUCAAAGUAAUCGAGUUUAAUUCUAAAUAUAUAAGCAAAACAAAACCAAAAGUUGGACUAAAUGACCUAGUAACUCAUCGAUUAUGGGAAUGCAAGGUAUUGCUCUACAAUCUCUUUUUAAUUAAUGGUUGUGGGUAACCACCAGGGCAGUAAUCGCUCUGUCUUCUUGUUUCCUGAAAUGAACCCUGGCCUUGAUUGUUUUUAGAAACUUAUGAUCAACCAGCCUGCUGUCAAUGCAAUCGAGUCCGUUUAAUAUUUUCCUAUUUUAAUUUUUUUUGGCGGUAAUACCUUUUUCAGUCAAUGUGCUAUAUGAUUUGUUUACAUUUUCCAUGUAAGGGUUUUAUGAAAUAUUCUAUGUGGAAAAUACUUAUCGUUUACGUUAUUUUAUGUUCUGUAUUAUGUUCUGUGUUAUGUCGUGUGUUAUGUCAUGUAAUGCCAUGCAAUGUGCUAUAUCAUGUUAUGUUACUUAUGCUUAUAUUGUGCCUGUGUUAUACUUGUGAUAUGCUUGUGUUAUGUUAUGUUAUGUUAUGUUAUGUUAUGUUAUGUUAUGUUAUGUUACACUUACGUCAUGCUUCUGUUACGUUGUAUUGUGUUGUUAUGCUCGGAGAACUGAAGCUGUCUAUUAACAACAUGCCUUGAACAACCGGAUUAAAGUGAUCAACUAUGAACAGCUAUUGAAGGAAUCUUAACAUUAAAGAUGUUCACUACGUAAAACAUAGCCCGUACAUGUAUUAUCAUAAGAACAUAGCCUACAAGAGCCGAAUCCAUAGAAAUAGUAAACCAGUACUAAAGUAGGAAAUAGUUAAGUUGGGCCAGUUACUAAGUACAUCUUAUAGAUUUCAGUGAUGUGAAUGCUACAUUACGUGGAUAAAAUUGUAUUUGGAUUUCGUUCUGGAAGGUUUGUAUUUUCACUAUCUUUCCAAAAUUUUACUUUUUCAAUUUUUGAACUAAAUUUUGUAUAAUGGUACGAAGAACAUGAAGGCUUUGUAUAACUUAGAAGUAAGAACAUAUUUAGAAUUUUUUAGCGUCUUUUUAAAAUCCAAGAACAUUGUAUGCCCUGAACCGAUCGAAAGCUCUUACAUGAAAAUGAAAAUAACAUGGUUUUGCCCUGGAUUCUUUCAGAUAAACAAGCUUCCAUGCAAUUUUAGGUAAUCGUACUUUAAAGGUGAUUUAAACGUUCAGAAUUUAAGCAGCUUUCGGUACUCCAGUAUGACUUUGAUUGAUGAUAUGAAAUGAUCGCAAUUUCUCUUGGAACCAAGUAUCAGCAAAGCUGGUUGAAUAUUCAAGUAGAUGAAUUUUGCUGGAGGCAUAAAGGUGAUUGAAGAGUGGAUUUUCAUCCUACUGAGCGACUAGUUUUGAAACUGAUGUGGGGCCAUGCCGAUAAGUUCAUUCUUAGCUAAGGUUGCGUGGUUCCGGAAAAUUUUGCUUGAAGCACUAGGGUGCGUUUCUCGAUAGACACCACCCACGUUUCUUGUGCUAACAAGAUUAAAAAGAAAAUCCUAUGACGAACCAAGAUAAGAUGGAAGGACAAAUGUCGUAUCCCAUCAUAAAAGGUGAUACAGUACAAUUUGUUUUCUUGUAAUCUAAAUGAAAAUGGAACUGAGAAGCGACGUACUUUUCUGGUCAUUUUAAUGUUAAUAAAAGGGAUUAUUGGCGAUUAACGACCAAAUCCUUUGUAAACAAAGAGUCGAACAGCCCUCCCAUCAUGCUAAAGCUAAUGGGGAAAUGGAUAAUUCUAAAUGUCUACUAUAAACUGUUCUUGUUAAUCGCUAAUCAAUGCAGAUUUACGCCGAUGUAGGUAUCGUCUAAUUGCAAGAAGAGAUGCUAAUUUAAGUACGGAAUAACCCAGCCACAGGAAGAAUUUUAUGACGUAAGAAACGUACAAGUGUAAAAUGGUAGAGGAACGGUCAGGAAAGGCUAGGUCUGCAAUGGACAUGGAUCAUAAAGGUCAUAUUAAUAUAAUGAAAACAUAUAUAUAAUGAAGACAUAAGCAACCGAAACCUGGAUAUGAAGAAACUCGACAAGAAGAGACAAGCAGUCAACUUAAACCAGGGGCGAAGCCAAAAACAUUCUUAGAAGAUGUAAAGAAAUGAUUUUUGCUGACAAAAAGGGCGUUUCUCACUCUUUAAGGAUGUGGUCAAAAGAUGUGUCUGUUUCACAGUUCAUACUUUAGUGCCAUACUUUGAGAGUUCAGCUACUACAGAAAUGUUAAUAUGUGAUACACAAUUGUUGCAAAGAGAUGAGUACAAAUAUUGCUUCUUUUGACCGGCAAAUCUCUCUAAUGUACCAAUGGACAAAGUGUUGGGGUACCACACCCCCGUAUCGCCUCCCCCUUUUGUGAGACCCUUGACUUAAACUAGGUAACAGCAUCCAUUUUUUUAGAAUCAAAGAAUUUUUUUUCUUAUUUAACUCAGUUCGUAUAUCUAAGGUGAAUACACGGCUCUCUAGUUAUCUGUUCACCAUCUUUUAAUAUAAUUUUAAGAA